UGUUUGAAUAUAGUACUACUAUAAUUGUUUUUUUUUUUUGAGAGAGAUAGAUAGCAUGCUACUCGCUUCGUUUAUUUUAUUUAGAAAUAAACUUAGCUAGAAAUGUGAAUCAACUAGGAUUCGAACUUGGGUCUCGGAUACCAACCACCAAACCCUUUGCAACUUGCUCUAGGGACGGUGGGUACUACUAUAAUUGUUAUUCUUUGUAAAAUUAAUUAUGU
rnacentral:lncRNA from 1 species